UCAACGGCAAGCUUAAGAGAUGCUGCUGAAGGGGAAAAGUAGUUCUGGAAAAGGAGGGAAAGGAGGUGCAGCCUCUGGGAGUGACUGGGCUGACAAGAAGUCUCGGGGUCCUAAAGGUGGUGGCAAGGCAGUAAAGGUCAGACACAUUCUAUGUGAAAAAUCAUGGGAAAAUCAUGGAAGCCAUGGAAAAGUUAAAGUCUGGGAUGAGAGCCAGUGAAGUGGCCACACAAAAUAGUGAAGAUACAGCCAGACAAGGGGGUGACUUGGGUUAGAUGACCAGAGGAUCCAUGGUGGGGCCAUUUCAAAAAGCAGCCUUU
rnacentral:lncRNA from 1 species